rnacentral:lncRNA from 1 species
GGGUAUUUACUAUUUUUGGCCUCUUCUGCAUAGUGUCACUCAAGUGGAGUCUUAGCUCAGUAUGAAGAUAGCUAAGUAUAGAAACACCUCAGUUUGGAUAUAGCUCAUCUCAGCCUCAUAUAACUCACCUCAGCAUGACUAAAAUCCAUCUCAGCAUGAACAUGCUGUGGAUGACUCUUUCCAGCAUACAUAUGGCUCAGUCACUUCAGAAUCUACGUUUCGGAUAUAAAUCCAAGAUAUCAAAAUAUCCCCGUAACAAUG